UACGAAGGGGGCAAGCGUUGUUCGGAAUUACUGGGCGUAAAGGGCGCGUAGGCGGCCGAUCAAGUCAGGCGUGAAAUUCCCGGGCUCAACCUGGGGGCUGCGCUUGAUACUGAUUGGCUUGAAUGCGGGAGAGGAUAGUGGAAUUCCCAGUGUAGAGGUGAAAUUCGUAGAUAUCAGGAGGAACACCGGUGGCGAAGGCGGCUUUCUGGACGAUAACUGACGCUGAGACGCGAAAGCGUGGGGAGCAAACAGG
rnacentral:rRNA from 1 species